rnacentral:ncRNA from 1 species
ACUACUCCACAUAUCAAUAAGCGGAGGAAAGGAAACUUACAAGGAUUCCCUUAGUAACGGCGAGUGAACCGGGAACCCGCCUUAGAAUCGGGAGGUUCCAUCGUCUAAAUUGUAGUCAGGAGAAGCGUCCUCAGCGACAGCCGGGCCCAAGUCUCCUGGAAGGGGGCGCCAGAGACGGUGAGAGCCCCAUUGUUCUCGGACCCUAUCGUACCACGAGGCGCUGUCUACAAGUCGAGUUGUUUGGGAAUGCAGCCCAAAUCGGGGGGUGAAUUCCGUCCAAGGCUAAAUACGGGUAAGAGAUCGAUAGCGAACAAGUACUGCGAGGGAAAGGUGAAAAGGACUUUGACAAGAGAGUCAAAGAGUGUUUGAAAUUGUCGGGAGGGAAGCGGAUGGGAGCCGGCGAUGUACCCCGGUCGGAUGUGGAAUGGUGAAGAGCCUGUCCGCCGAUCGACUCGGGGAGUGGAUCAGCGUUAAUUGGGGGGGAGACCAAAACCUGUACUAGGAUCAACUGCACAUCCAUUUAUCAAGUUGGCACUCUUUCCUUCCAAAAACAUAC